GACGAACGCUGGCGGCGUGCUUAACACAUGCAAGUCGACCGGAAAGGCCCUGCUUUUGUGGGGUGCUCGAGUGGCGAACGGGUGAGUAACACGUGAGUAACCUGCCCUUGACUUUGGGAUAACUUCAGGAAACUGGGGCUAAUACCGGAUAGGAGCUCCUGCUGCAUGGUGGGGGUUGGAAAGUUUCGGCGGUUGGGGAUGGACUCGCGGCUUAUCAGCUUGUUGGUGGGGUAGUGGCUUACCAAGGCUUUGACGGGUAGCCGGCCUGAGAGGGUGACCGGCCACAUUGGGACUGAGAUACGGCCCAGACUCCUACGGGAGGCAGCAGUGGGGAAUAUUGCACAAUGGGCGGAAGCCUGAUGCAGCAACGCCGCGUGCGGGAUGACGGCCUUCGGGUUGUAAACCGCAUUCGCCUGUGACGAAGCGUGAGUGACGGUAAUGGGUAAAGAAGCACCGGCUAACUACGUG
rnacentral:rRNA from 1 species